rnacentral:tRNA from 1 species
CCGUAGCUCAGUUGGUUAGAGCGCACGCCUGAUAAGCGUGAGGUCGGUGGUUCGAAUCCACCCGGGC